UCCUUGUUUCACUCUCAAAAGACUAAACAAAUUAACCAAAAAUAAUUAUUUAUGCCCUAACUUUAGCAUUUUGCCUUCAUCCCUUCUUUCUUGCCCUUUCCUUAGGGUUUCUUGUGGGUCUUUCUUUUUUCAUUCUCAUGUGUUAUUUUUAUCUUUUGACCCAAACAUCUCUCCUUUAAUAUGCUUGCCUCUUGUCUACAUAAGACAUAUAUACAUCUGAAUCUCUCACAUCUCAUAAUUGUUUAUAUAAACCAUUUCUCCUCCUCUCUCAAUCACCUUCCAUAUCUCCCUUUCUUCUCUCUCUGGAUCCUCAAUCUCGACCCUCAUAUUUUGUUUGUUGAUUCUCAUCUUCCCUUUUUUGUUUUCAAGAAAUCGUCAUUUAGGGUUUGAAGAACAAUAACUUCAAUUCUUCCUGAGGAGAGAGAGAAAACAAAAGAUCUCCUCAAUCUCAUUUUCUUACAUGCAAAUCACAAUUCAUGCUUUAGAUUGUUUCUAUAGUCAUCCAUAUAUGCUGUUUAUAUCUGUUCAUGCAUGUCCAGGUGGAGAUCUAGCUAGAUAUAGCUUCACUUAAAAAUAGAAUAAGACAUCGGCCGUUUUGGGCAAUUAGUUUCAAUACAUAAUAACAUGUAUAGGCAUCAUGACAGAUAUGCAAAUAUAUGUUGAGGAAUCUAUGUUAAUUACUCCGUGCAAUCAUGUGACGAAGAUUAGAAGGUACCUCACAAAACCGUCUAGCUACCACCUAUGCUUCUUCUUGUGGUCUCGAAAUAUUCCACUGACAGAUAUUUUGGUGAGGUCUUUCGAUUCGUAUUUUCCAGUACAAAUGUUUGUCAUGUCACAGCACUUUUAACGAGGAUUUCUUCUGUGAUAACAUCAAUAUAUAGCUCAUUUGCUUAUACAAAAAAUUGUUAAUAAUAUCGAUAGCUAAUAUAUAUCCCCGUACGGUUCAUAUUCUUGUAUUGUUUCAAUCAUAUCGAUUACAUAAAUAUAUUUGUA